rnacentral:rRNA from 1 species
AAUGAACGCUGGCGGCGCGCCUAAUACAUGCAAGUCGAGCGAGAAGACGUAGCAAUACGUUUGUAAAGCGGCGAACGGGUGAGGAAUACAUGGGUAACCUACCCUCGAGUGGGGAAUAACUAGCCGAAAGGUUAGCUAAUACCGCGUACGCUCCUUGGACUUCGGUUCAGGGAGGAAAGCGAUACCGUGGGUAUCGCGCUCUUGGAUGGGCUCAUGUCCUAUCAGCUUGUUGGUGAGGUAACGGCUCACCAAGGCUUCGACGGGUAGCUGGUCUGAGAGGACGAUCAGCCACACUGGCACUGCGACACGGGCCAGACUCCUACGGGAGGCAGCAGUAAGGAAUAUUGCGCAAUGGGCGAAAGCCUGACGCAGCGACGCCGCGUGGGGGAUGAAGGUCUUCGGAUUGUAAACCCC